UGAGGAAUAUUGGUCAAUGGGCGAGAGCCUGAACCAGCCAAGUAGCGUGCAGGAUGACGGCCCUCCGGGUUGUAAACUGCUUUUAGUUGGGAAUAAAAAAAGGGACUUGUCCCUUCUUGUAUGUACCUUCAGAAAAAGGACCGGCUAAUUCCGUGCCAGCAGCCGCGGUAAUACGGAAGGUCCAGGCGUUAUCCGGAUUUAUUGGGUUUAAAGGGAGCGUAGGCGGAUUGUUAAGUCAGCGGUUAAAGGGUGUGGCUCAACCAUGCAUUGCCGUUGAAACUGGCGAUCUUGAGUGCAGACAGGGAUGCCGGAAUUCGUGGUGUAGCGGUGAAAUGCUUAGAUAUCACGAAGAACUCCGAUCGCGAAGGCAGGUGUCCGGGCUGCAACUGACGCUGAGGCUCGAAAGUGUGGGUAUCAAACAGGAUUAGAUACCCUGGUAGUCCACACAGUAAACGAUGUAUACUCGCGGUUUGCGAUAGACAGUAAGCCGCCAAGCGAAAGCAUUAAGUAUACCACCUGGGGAGUACGCCGGCAACGGUG
rnacentral:rRNA from 1 species